CCGAUAUAGCUAGAGGGAUUCUAAAAUAUUCUUGGAACGCACAGGGUACAGAUACAACCUAUAGACCACAAGUAGUUUACAAUCGCUUCGUGCAGUCUGCAAAUUCUACUCGAACGUGAACGUCUAAAGCAAAAUCAGCCGAGAAAUGUUGCACAUCUGUAAGAACGUUCAUUUAAAUUCCGAGAUGUGCGGCCGUUCUUUGCCGUAAUUAAGAAAUUCUUUGUUUAUAAAAGUUUAUCCCUAGUGUUCUUUUCUAUAGCGAACGAAGCGAUUUCGUCAGUGGAUGAUUAUAAUAUUGACACGUAUUGAAAUGUGGCAACAGGAAAUAAGAAUGCAGAAAGAACGCGAUAAGUUUAUAAGAUAUAUCGUAACACGACAUACACGUAUUGCGUAUACUCGCAACAGACAAGUGAACGUACAUAGGGAUAUAGACGCGACGAAAUGUAUGUGUACACGAGGAGGCCGAUGAAUCCUUGAAUAUAUUUCUAAAAUAUAUCUUUGCGUUAUGAGAAUUUUUGAUACUUUUUAGGCGCGCACUUGCUUCUAUGACAGAAUAAGAUAUAGAUAAACAAUCGAGGAAAAAAGAGGAAAGAGAACGAAUGCUUUGGUAAUUAUAAUUAUAUAUACAGAGGAGGUAUGUCUCACCGCCUUCCAUGAUUUUCAAAUUUGUUCACGAGGUCUUUGCCAUGAUGCUGAGCGACUCUUUUCUACGCAUACAUACAUAUAAACGCAGGCACGCACGCACACACAUACAAAAUGUUGACUUUAUGUGCGGACACGAUACUAUUAUAUGUAUGUCCGUAGUCGUGGCUCACGCACAGCUAAGGUGAGUUGAGUUUCUUUCUUAUUCUUUCUGUACCUAAAAAAUUGAUACGCAAGAUCUGUGAACGCAUCCUAUAAUGCCAUUGUCACACGCUCAAGAAGGCCAUCCGCUCAGAAACAGUAAUCAGGUCGACGAAACAUCCUGCAUGCCACAGCUAUCGAAAUAAUAACCAAACAGUAAUGGAAUAGCCGCCUCUGAUAUACAUCCGACGAUAACCCCUCCAAAGGGACUAAAACCUCAAUAUAAAAACCCUCCUAAAUUAGCGCUCAAGACAUUAUUCUGUUGCAACACUUUGAACCGUCACUCUGUUGGAUUUAUAUAAUAAAAAUUCCAUUAUUCGUGAAACGUUCGAACUGCGACGCGAGGAGAUCACCGGCGAUCUAUCGGUUUCGUGAUUUCUUGUGUCCCCGACGUGACACCAUCAUGCCCGUACAUAAAGUCAACCCGAUCCUAACCCACCUCAAGAUAAAAAGUAGCAAAAAUAUUUUUAUGAAUAUGUAUGUUGGAAAUUAAUGUCGAGCGGUAGUUAAAAAGUUACUCAGAAUAUUGAUCUUAACGAUACAUUUGAAAAUCAUUAAAAUCGGCCAGGUGUAUACCUCCUUCUAUAUAAUUACCAAUUCUUUUUACUUUAUUUUUACUUUAGUCGCAUGUUAAAGAAACAUUCAAAUAAAGACGGAUUUAUAUAAUCAGAGAAUAACGAAUAAGUUUUUAAAGAGUGACUGGGUUUUAUUACUUUGGCAGAUGCCUUUAUUUAUCUACGCUUGGAUACACAAUCUUUAUCGUACUCUAUAAAUGUCUUUGACGGUGUUCAUUUGUAUAUGUACCAAACAUGUAUGCACUAUGCAUGUAUAGACAUUUGCGCAUUUCUCUUUUGUCCUCUCGCUUCAGUAUUCGGAAACAAUAGACAUUGUGGCUAAAUUAAAAUCGCCUCCGGAGUUUUCAUAUUUCGCUGUUGAACAGAGUCGUGAGCGCACGUGAACCAACUCCCAGUUCUUAUGCUCGGUAGGCCCGAGGCAUCUCGUUUCAUUUCAGUCCUAACCUUCUCCGAAUCAAGCUAUCUCGGCAACCUGCCUUGCCAACCCGCUGUCACUCUCUUAUUUCUUUCCUAUUUUAUCACAUCCACCCCCCCCCCUCUCUCUCUCUGUUUCUUCGUCUUUCUUCAUUUUUUGACAUAUUAUAUUUUACUUCUCCUUCUAUUCUCCUCUCCCCCUCUUUUUCUUUUCCUAUAAAUAUUAGGGUGGCAACUAAGUGAUUGCGGAUUUUUUCAUUAGGUGGUAUUGACAAAAUCCGCAACCACUUAUUUGCCAACCCAAUAUAAUCUCCAAACCCUGCUAAUUUCGAUCAACAUUUACAAAUAUGUCAAAUAUGUAUAUUCAAUUUUCCGUCGCAAUAGUUACAGCACUUGACAAAAUCUGCCAAAGAUAUUGUAAAAUAACAAACAUGAAUGAAAUUCCAAAGUUUCGAAACAGUCGGAUAUUUGCUUCUAUGCAUAAUGCUUUUCGCCAACAUAUAAAUACAUAUUAUAUGUGUAUGUAAGCAUCAUGUAUGUGUUAUUAAUCCAACGAUACGUCCAACGAGUUCAAAUUUUUGUACAAAAAUUCUGUCAAUAAGAUCACCGACAGACACGAGAACUAAUUUCGGCGAUUAUGAAGAUAAUCUUACAGAGAUUAAAGCACAGAAUUCUUGCACACACGAUGACUUGGCUUAUAGCUUCGCAACUGCAACGUGAGUAUUGAUUUGCCGCUGUUGCGCUUCAGCUCUGUAGGUUCUACUCGUUUCGCCGUCUUCGGAGACUCUGCCAGCUGUGCCGGAUCUUGUUCUUUUCCCCUAUCAUAGAUUUCUUUUCUUUCUGUAAAUCGUUUAUCCUUUUUUUAUCGCACGUACAACGUUUUACUCGACUUUCUCUUUCUCCCAAUUUACUUAUGUUUUUCUACUCUGUCCUCUUUUCCCCUGAAUCUCAAUAUCUCCAUCAGUUCCUCUUUUUCCCUUUUUCACUCCUUUCCUUUCUUUUCAUAUUACAUAUACGCACAUAUGUACAUAUAUCGUAUAUCCAUAUAUUUCAUCAGGAUAGCAUAUCGUCAUUCGAUUAGUCAUCAUUUCUCAUUUCUUUGUUCAUACUAAUCCCUUUCUCCAUUUUAUAUUUGAUUUUUCAAUCGAAUUCUCGAUAUUCAAAGUAUACGAAGACGACGAAGAUUACGCUCUUUGAAAAUAUCUUAAUCAACAUGUUACAAAUAAUCUCUUCCUAUCUUGUAUAAGGAAAUGCAAGUGGAUGUAGAUAUUCCUAAAAUUGAGAGAGAAAUAUAUUAUACAAGAUUAUAUAAGAAUAUAAGAUUCCAUGGAAGCAGAAGUAGACGAAGAGGAACAAGGAGAAAGGGCAGAAGGUAGGUUGAAAAGUACAUAGUACAAUGUACCGCAGUACAUUUGGCGAGUGUCCAAUGGUAUGUAUAUCACGAUAAACCGACAAAAUGUUUCGAAAGAAUUAUUUUAUAUAUCCUGAAAUCGUUGUCAUUCUUCGCAUUGUUAUUUUUAUUAUUCUAUUAUCUUUUUUUUGUACUUCUUGAACAUUAUUUCACGCGAACAGCAUUUGCAACUAAUAGGUUGUUGUCGUGAUUUUUCAAGUGAUUUGUAUGUGCAUGUGUGUUUGAGCUUGUAUGUCAGAGAAAAGGCAAUCGAAAGAAAUAACGCAGAAAGAAAGGAAGCAGAGAAGCGAGGAAGAAAGGAAGAGAAAGGGAAAGGGGGAAAAAAAGGAAGAAACAGUUUCAUUACUUUCGAUCCCUAAGAAGGAUAUUCUUGUAAGAGGGGAAGGUAGAAGACGAAACGGGAAUAACCAUUGAAUUCCUUGAGACGCGAGGGAAACCUAAGACGUACGGAACCUUCGAAGAGGGUUCGGCCGACACACCCUACUCGAGUUCUUUCAGAGCAGGGCUGUCCAAAGUUGUGGAAAAAAUAGCAGCUUUCUAUUAUUCGAAGAGAAUCGAUGAUAGCUUUCUAUUUCUAUUUUAACUAAUUUUCCAUUUGUUCCUGUUCAAAGUACGUCUUUGUCUUUGUAUGUCAAAGUUAUGCGACGAGAUUAAGCGCCAUUGCCGCUGAAACAACAAUCUAGGCGUUCAUUCUUAAAUAAUAACCAUGAUAACAUUUUAUAUUUUUAUCCAUAUAUUCUUGCUGUCAAACGCACGAAUAUUCUUAAAUGUUUUCUAAUAUAGGUACACUCGCAUACUCGUAUAUCGCAAAAGUGUAUGAAAUACGUACAGUGCAUGUAUAGUGUUUUCUUCUUCUUGCGUAUUUCACAAUAUGGUGAAUAUGCUUCAGAUUUUCACAUCUAAAUCACUCUGAUAUUCAUCUGAUAUUUAAUCUGAUAUUCAAUAAAUUAAACAACAGUACUCACUUAUUAGCUUGUAUUAUUAUGAAAAUAAGGAGAAUAUAUACUUGUAAAAGGUGUAGAAAGUUUAAAAUAUUGGAGUAACAUUUAAAUAACCGUUUGAUAUCGUUAUCGUCUUACAUCUAUUUUUUAAGUACAUUUUUCGUUUUACAGCGUCAUAGCUUUUAUUGUAUGAAACAAGUACAUGCAUAUUUUAAUUUUCUACUCUCUUCCAUUAAACAAGAUAGUUAUGUACGAACGUGUAUUGCUGAUACAUAUUACGUAUAUUAAUAUUUCUUGUUUGUAGCGCAUUCUGUAUUUAUUAAAUUUGCAAAUCAGAAUGUAAAACUUAAAGUUAAUAUUCGAUCAUCGACAUCUGUCAGUUUUAUAGGUAACGCGCACUAAAAUAAAAAAA